AUGGUGGUCGUAAAGGCAACUGCUCGAAGGGCAAUCAGGUGCCAUAUGCGUCUAGUCAGGCCGAAAAAUUACUACCAUUUUCAUGAGGACGUGGGUCCAACACACUUCUACAAGGUAAUCCUAGUAUAUGUGUUGGAGUUACUGCUGAUCCCCAAUGGCUUCUGUAAGCACAUGACCAACAUCCCACUAGAAGUCGUUCUUAAGAUGAACACCGGCUGCAAGUGGAGGGUCACGCUCCAGAGGGUCAAUCGUAAGAUAGCCCUUGAUAAAGGAUGGGCUGGAUUUGCCAUAGCUCAUCAUAUUCAGAUUGAUUACCUCGUCGUGUUCAAGGUGUUGAUUGUGGACACCUUCAAGAUGAUCGUAUUUGACAUUUUUGGCGCUGAGGCGGAAGGCAAGUGCAAGAAGCACCAUGAAGCACUUGCCUUGUUCUGGGAAGUUUAA
rnacentral:rRNA from 1 species